AAAGGCAGUGCACAGAGUAGGUAAGUGUGAGUCGGCUGCAGAAUGGCAACUGAAAAGAACCCGCUGCUGUCCUUGAUUCUCACCGCCGGGCUCACGGCACUCGCAGCUACUGGGCAAAAAGCAGAGCAACCAGAAGUGGUGACC